UACGGGAGGCAGCAGUGGGGAAUAUUGCACAAUGGGCGCAAGCCUGAUGCAGCCAUGCCGCGUGUAUGAAGAAGGCCUUCGGGUUGUAAAGUACUUUCAGUCGUGAGGAAGGUGUUAAGGUUAAUAACCUUAGCAAUUGACGUUAGCGACAGAAGAAGCACCGGCUAACUCCGUGCCAGCAGCCGCGGUAAUACGGAGGGUGCGAGCGUUAAAUCGGAAUUACUGGGCGUUAAAGGGCACGCAGGCGGUUAAUUAAGUUGGAUGUGAAAUCCCCGGGCUUAACCUGGGAAUGGCAUUCAAGACUGGUUAGCUAGAGUCUUGUAGAGGGGGUAGAAUUCCAUGUGUAGCGGUGAAAUGCGUAGAGAUGUGGAGGAAUACCGGUGGCGAAAGGCGGCCCCUGGACAAAAGGACUGACGCUCAUGUGCGAAAAGCGUGGGGAGCAAACAGGGAUUAGAUACC
rnacentral:rRNA from 1 species